AGGGGAUAACUACUGGAAACGGUAGCUAAUACCGCAUAACGUCGCAAGACCAAAGAGGGGGACCUUCGGGCCUCUUGCCAUCAGAUGUGCCCAGAUGGGAUUAGCUAGUAGGUGGGGUAACGGCUCACCUAGGCGACGAUCCCUAGCUGGUCUGAGAGGAUGACCAGCCACACUGGAACUGAGACACGGUCCAGACUCCUACGGGAGGCAGCAGUGGGGAAUAUUGCACAAUGGGCGCAAGCCUGAUGCAGCCAUGCCGCGUGUAUGAAGAAGGCCUUCGGGUUGUAAAGUACUUUCAGCGGGGAGGAAGGCGAUAGGUUAAUAACCUUGUCAUUGACGUUACCCGCAGAAGAAGCACCGGCUAACUCCGUGCCAGCAGCCGCGGUAAUACGGAGGGUGCAAGCGUUAAUCGGAAUUACUGGGCGUAAAGCGCACGCAGGCGGUCUGUCAAGUCGGAUGUGAAAUCCCCGGGCUCAACCUGGGAACUGCAUUCGAAACUGGCAGGCUAGAGUCUUGUAGAGGGGGGUAGAAUUCCAGGUGUAGCGGUGAAAUGCGUAGAGAUCUGGAGGAAUACCGGUGGCGAAGGCGGCCCCCUGAAACGAUGUCGACUUGGAGGUUGUGCCCUUGAGGCGUGGCUUCCGGAGCUAACGCGUUAAGUCGACCGCCUGGGGAGUACGGCCGCAAGGUUAAAACUCAAAUGAAUUGACGGGGGCCCGCACAAGCGGUGGAGCAUGUGGUUUAAUUCGAUGCAACGCGAAGAACCUUACCUACUCUUGACAUCCAGAGAACUUUCCAGAGAUGGUUGGUGCCUUCGGGAACUCUGAGACAGGUGCUGCAUGGCUGUCGUCAGCUCGUGUUGUGAAAUGUUGGGUUAAGUCCCGCAACGAGCGCAACCCUUAUCCUUUGUUGCCAGCGGUUAGGCCGGGAACUCAAAGGAGACUGCCAGUGAUAAACUGGAGGAAGGUGGGGAUGACGUCAAGUCAUCAUGGCCCUUACGAGUAGGGCUACACACGUGCUACAAUGGCGCAUACAAAGAGAAGCGACCUCGCGAGAGCAAGCGGACCUCAUAAAGUGCGUCGUAGUCCGGAUUGGAGUCUGCAACUCGACUCCAUGAAGUCGGAAUCGCUAGUAAUCGUGGAUCAGAAUGCCACGGUGAAUACGUUCCCGGSUCUUGUCCAACCGCCCGUCACACC
rnacentral:rRNA from 1 species